rnacentral:rRNA from 1 species
UACGGAGGAUUCAAGCGUUAUCCGGAUUUAUUGGGUUUAAAGGGUGCGUAGGCGGUUUGAUAAGUUAGAGGUGAAAUGUCGGGGCUCAACCCCGAAACUGCCUCUAAUACUGUUGGACUAGAGAAUAGUUGCGGUAGGCGGAAUGUAUGGUGUAGCGGUGAAAUGCGUAGAUAUUAGGAAGAACACCGGUGGCGAAGGCGACUUUCUGGACUGUAACUGACGUUGAGGCACGAAAGUGUGGGGAGCAAACAGG